CCUACGGGGAGCAGCAGUGGGGAAUAUUGGGCAAUGGGCGCAAGCCUGACCCAGCAACGCCGCGUGAAGGAAGAAGGCUUUCGGGUUGUAAACUUCUUUUCUCAGGGACGAAGAAAGUGACGGUACCUGAGGAAUAAGCCACGGCUAACUACGUGCCAGCAGCCGCGGUAAUACGUAGGUGGCAAGCGUUAUCCGGAUUUACUGGGUGUAAAGGGCGUGUAGGCGGGACUGCAAGUCAGAUGUGAAAACCACGGGCUCAACCUGUGGCCUGCAUUUGAAACUGUAGUUCUUGAGUACUGGAGAGGCAGACCGAAAUCCUAGGGUAGCGGGGAAAUGCGGUGAUAUUAGGAGGAACACCAGUGGCGAAGGCGGUCUGCUGGACAGCAACCGACG
rnacentral:rRNA from 1 species